GGCAGCUGCGAAAGCCCGUGUUUCCAGCCCUGUUUUUCCGUGGGAGAGACACGCAGGGCUGCAGGCGAGGCGUGCUGAGCGUUCGGUCAGCUGCUGGUUAAAAGUUCAUGCAAACCCUUCGCCGAAAAUUAGUAGGUACCUGCGAACUGGGCUGCCAGUAAGAAGGGGAAGGUGUUCCCUCUCCGGGACGUCAGGAACACAGCAAGGGAAGAUUCUCUAUUGCCUUGAUACAUCACAGACAUGAGAGAGCAGAGCCAAUGGAGUAAAAGAAGAGAAUGAAUGAAGAAUAUAAAGAUUAAUUUUGAAAUCUACAUCUACCUGGCUACACCUUACACUUCUGGACUUUCAGUGUUAUGCCACUAGUAUCAUGCGCUUACUGGUUUUCCUACUGAGUGUCUUCAACUGCCUCUGAAGAAAGAGUUUAAGUCAUAGGCAGCGCUGUUGACUGUGUGUUCUCCAACGCACAGCAUCACCCACCUCCCCAGGGGAGCUGCUUCCUUCCAGCUAUCAGAACCACACACCUCCACAGAGGGCUCAAGGCGCUUGGUGCUGGGCUGCAGUCUGAAUUUUCAGCUUGAAGAAAAAUGAAACCUAUGAAAAAUAGAUACAGAGAACUGUAACUUUCCUCUAGAUGGAGGACAGGAAGAAUGGAAACACACUGUGCUUUACAGGAGCUCUUUUCAGCUGUGGUUAAGACUAGCCUGUGGAAGCAUAGGAACUGUGACAUCCCUGAUUUGGGAUUGAAAGAAAGCUCAGGAGAAGUGUCAUGCAGUGCAUGCUCUGUUCUUCUGCUCUUCCCCAGUGUGAUCACUGUAAGACACAAAAUAUGGACUAGGUAGACUUUGGUGUGACUCUUGUUCUUAUAAGUAUUUUCUGACUUUUUUCUGUCACUUGAUUUGUAUUCCAUUUCAGUAGUGAGGCCUCUAAGCUCAGCGACUGUGCAUGUUUUUUGACAAUACCUAGCAUAAUGGGGCAUUGACUUUGCUGACUCUUGGUGCUGCUCUGUAAAAAUAACAAUAACAUGAUUAAUAACAUAUACUACAUUAUUUUCCACUUCUGAAGCAAAACCAUAGAGGGUUUAUUGAUCAGUUCAAGGAAAUAAAAAUCAAAUGCCAUGAAAGUGAUGGGAGUGAAAUUAAAGAGAAAGCUCAAACACUAAAUCAGUGUUCAGGUAAAUAUGUGAUCUUUUGCAAGUUUACUGAACCUAAAAUAAGCAAGGAUAUUUGGGCUCCACUGUAUAUACACCCAUAAUACCUACACCUGUAUUUAUGUUUUUAAUGCUGUUAUUUUAGUAAGCCCAGAUCCUUCAACCAGAUCAUGAUGUGCUAAUGUCCUCAGAUCUUUAGUUAACAUGGUAGUUUUUAUAACUGUGUAAUGUGAAAAUAAAUAUUGCAAAGUUAACUGAAAUAUAAUCAACAUAUGUGCGUCAGCAAUAUGAUUGAGAAUUUAGACUUAAGUCUAAAAAUAUUUCUGUAACUUUAUUCUGUAAUGGAGUAGUCUUCUGGCUUAGGGAAAUUCCCUAGAAGUUGGAAGGAUGUGCCAGUGAAGUGUUUCUGCAUACUCGCACCUCUCUUAUCCCUUAGCUAAUGGUUGAAGAUACAGGACUAGAUGCACAUUUGCUGUAACUCAGAAAAGCUCUUUUUUUAUUAGACUUUUACAUGCCACUGAUAUGUGCAUCUCCACUUUCCUCCCCGGUAGUUUAAUCAACUAGAUCAAGCCUUCAGAUGACAAGGCUCCUUAAAACUUCUGAUACCUCAGUAUGUUAUUUGAAUAAUUUAAUAUUUGACGUGAGUUGUUUUAAGGAUCAAUAGAAGUGUGAAUUUGUGACCUUAAUGUUUAUCAUAUCAAAAUAGAAAUGAAUUGCCAGUUCACUUGUUCGUUUUGACUAUUCUUCUAGAAUAUACUCUAUUGUUUUACUACCAUAAUUCUUUGACAACCCAUGUUCACUUUUAAAAAACAAUCUUGCUAAAGAAAAUAGAUGUAACGUUUCUCUCACCAGGCUGGCUAAUUAGGUGAAAUAAUUAAUUUCUGUUAUUUUUUGCUGAUUGUUUUUAAAAGUGGCAAGUCAUCAAGUGUGUAAAUCAUCAAAAUGUGUAAAUUUCAUUCUCUAGCAAGGGCCCUUACAACAUGCCACAACUGCCAGUAAUGUCCUAUAUUUCUAUGAUAACUGAUGAGUUUUUUCUAUAAAUACAUUGCCUAUGCCUAAUUGUAGAACAUAUUCCUAUUAAAGUCAA